CAUAAGAUAAAACCCCUACAAACUUUCUCCCAAGAGUUCCACACAAACCCUAGGUGAUUUCGAGUGUUAUGGAAUGAUUCUAGUGCUGAAAAACCCAAACUGCUUGCUAGUUUCCCUUUCCUUUUCUUUACCUUCAUUGGGGGUUAAUUCCAGGUAAAGGGAGAUUAGAUUUUUGCUGGUUCUGAUCAGUUCAAGGUUGACGUAUGUCGGGCAGUAUAUAUAUAUUGAGUCGUUGACUAAGCAACAAAGUCAAUGGAGUUCACUGUUUCCUGGCUUUACGGUCAGUGAGAGAUACACCGAGACCUAUAUGAGGAUGGCUAGCUAUGACCUUACUAUGUUACAUUGUGUUGAGUCAGAGCAGGUACAGACGCACAGUUUGGUGAUCCACCAGUUUAGGACACCCUCUUCUGCUGUUUGGAGUGCUCCUCUUAUCCCGGAGCCUACAUAUUGGUAUAUAUAUUCGUUCGUUGCAUAUGUAUAUAUUUGUUCAGGGGUACGGCGGGGCCCUGUCCCGCCAUAUGAUUCGGUUGGUUUGUUUAGAGGUCUGUAGACGUAUAUGUGGGUUGUGCCUACUUCUGUACAGGUGUGUUUGUAUGAUCCCACUCACCAUGGCAUCCUUGUCGGCGUGCAUUUGUAUAUGUUUUGGGCCGUUGCGCCUUUUGAUAGCCUUGCCGGCUUCUGAUAUAUAUAUAUAUAUAUAUGGUUGUGUUGAAAUGUGUCUGAGACAGUUUGAUAUAAUUUGAGGCAGCGUGUGAUAUUUGUGCCCGUAUACGUUAUCUGUAUGUGAUUCGGAUUGAAUGAGUGUGUUCGGGUGUCCAUUUCGGGCACUAGUCACGGCCUACGGGGUUGGGUCGUGACAAUGUUACAUCCCGUAUUUUCGUUCAAUAUAUGUACAUAUAAGUUGAGGUCAACGAAUGCACUUAAACGUGAGAAAUGAGAUUUUGAGCAAAUAAAAAUGAGCUGCUUGCUUGCCCGCCAUGCUUGCUUGAGCUACUUAACACGUGUUGUGAUUAUUAAACGAGGAUGAGACACGUAUUUAAAUGAGGUAAGGGCGGCAUGUGACACAUUUAAAUAAUCUAGUAGGUGACAAGUAGGUGUCACCUACUUUAUAAAGAAGAGGUUCAAAUUAAAUCCUCAAAAAAGGGCUGGUUGAAGUCUACUGAAGAGGACCCUUUUAAGGGCUGAUCCUCUUCACUUCUCCUCAUUAUUUUUAGAGCUUUAACAUGAGAUAAAUCCCCUGCAAACUUUCUCCCAAGAGUUCAACACAAACCCUAGGUGAUUUCUAGUGUUACGAAGUGCUUCUAGUGCCAAAAAACCCGAACUGAUUUCUAGUUUCCCUUUCCUUUUCUUGUAGCCUUGUUGGGGGAGAAUUCCAGGUUAAAGGAGCUUAGGUUUUCGCUAGUUCUGAUAAGUCCAAGGUAAGUUUAUGCUUCUUCUUGCCUUAUCUAAGCUUCUACAUGCUUGUUUUUAAGUUGAAUUCAUAGUUGGUUUACAUGAGAAGAGAAUUAAUUAUAUACUGUUGGUUGUGUUGCUCGAUUUGAAAGAAAAGACAAGUCGAAAACAUGUUUUUAGUAAUCUGAAAAUUAGUUUUAAGUUGUUGUAACCUGUUGGACUGUUAUGGGGUCGUUUUAAAGAUAUGUUGCGGCUAAAAAUCAGUAAGAUUAAAUGAAUACAUUGUGGUUAAUGUUGUUAACAAAUUCUGGAAUAAAAAGGGGAUUUAAGAUAUAGUUUGUUUAAUUAUUAACAGAGCUUGCCGCUCGUUGUACUAUUGCUUGACUUGCUGUUUGUUGGUUUAUAUCGUGGCUAUGUUGUUGCUGUUAUUGUUGUUGUUCUAGUUGUUGUUGAUGGCAUUUUGAAUUGGGAGGAAGUGAAAGUUAUAGGUAUGGUGCUGUCUAGUUUUCUAGAAAUAAGCUACUUGCUUAGAAAUAUGUUUUAAGCUCUUCUGUAGCUUAACCAUAGUUUUAAUGUCUUAAUGUAGGUUGAAGUAUGUCGGGCUAUAUAUAUAUUGAGUCGUUGACUAAGCGACAAAGGUAUGUAAUGUCUAUCCCUUUCUUUCAUUGGCAUGAAUCCAUAAUCAGUAAGAGUUAGACGACUCGUAUAAAAGAAACACAUAUAUUAGAGCUCUUGUUUCUAUAGGUGCUACAUUUUCCCGUAUACUUCUAUCGUAUUUUGAUAAGAGGGACUCCUAUCCGCUCCAUGUUAUGCCGUGAUGAUUGAGAGAGAUAGAGAGAUACAUGCAUACCUUCAUACAUUCUACUAUAUACAUGAUAUAUAACAUCAUAUACAUAUAUGUUUUGUUGCCUGACCACUUGGUCAGUGAGAGAUAUUAUUUCCUACCCUUACGGUCAGUGAAAGAUAUUAUUGCUUGGUCACUUUGUCAGUGAGAGAUAUUAUUACUUGGCCUUAUGGUCAGUGAGAGUUUAUUAUUAACUGGCCUUACAGUCAGUGAGAGUUUACUGUUGCCAAGUCUUAUGUCAGUGUGAGAUACAACGAGACCUAUAUGUGGUCUGCUAGCUAUGAUAUUACUAUAUUACAUUAUGUAGAGUCAGAGCAGGUGAGUAUGCCUCAGAACAUUCCUUGGCUUUUAGUUGUUAUGUAUUUCAGUUCAGUUUUAGCUUUCAGUUAUUCUAUUGCCUUACAUCCUCGGUACAUUAUUUCUUACUGAUGUCCGUUUUGCCAGGGUCAGAGCACGUAAGUAGGCCUCAGAACAUUACUUGGCUUUUAGUUGUUACGUAUUUCAGUUUUGUUUCAGCUUUCACUUAUUCUAUUGCCUUACAUACUCGGUACAUUAUUUCAUACUGACGUCCCUUUUGCUGGGAGCACUGUAUGUCAUGCCUGCAGGUUCUGAUAGACAGCCGAAUAGACCUUCCCAGUAGACAAGGCUAGACAUCAGCUUGAUUGGUAUGCUCCACUCAUCCGAUAUUACCAGGUCUAUAUUUUGGAGUUCAUUUUGUAUAUGCAACCUUGAUGGGUAGGUUGGGACCCUGUCCUGACGAUGAUACAGUUCUAUUAUCUCUAUAGGCUUGUAGACGAGUCCUAUAUGUUUGGUAUGUUGGUGUUAUGGCCUUUCCGAUCCUUUGUACAUGUUCAUUUUGGUAUUGCUAGUUGUAGACGUUCAUGGCAGCCUUG